rnacentral:pre_miRNA from 1 species
CAUGCACUGGUGGGGUCCCUCAGCCUGGCCUGCACCCUCUGGCAAUCUGGGACCCCUCAGGAGAUGUUGGAGAGCUGGUUUCAGCUCAAUCCCGCAGGCCAGGCUGAGGGACCCCACAGGUGCACA